rnacentral:rRNA from 1 species
CGAGACUGCCGGUGUCAAACCGGAGGAAGGUGGGGAUGACGUCAGGUCCUCAUGGCCCUUAUGCCUAGGGCUGCAAACGUGCUACAAUGGUACGGACAGAGCGAGGCGAUCCCGCAAGGGGGAGCAAAUCGCAAAAACCGUGCCCCAGUUCGGAUAGCAGGCUGCAAUUCGCCUGCUUGAAGUUGGAAUCGCUAGUAAUCG